rnacentral:rRNA from 1 species
GACGAACGCUGGCGGCGUGCUUAACACAUGCAAGUCGUACGGUAAGGCCCUUUCGGGGGUACACGAGUGGCGAACGGGUGGGUAACACGUGCGUAACCUGCCCACAACUUUGGGAUAACGCUCGGAAACUGGUGCUAAUACUGGAUAUGUGCUCCUGCUGCCUGGUGGGGGUUGGAAAGCUCCGGUGGUUGUGGAUGGACUCGCGGCCUAUCAGCUUGUUGGUGGGGUAGUGGCCUACCAAGGCGGCGACGGGUAGCCGGCCUGAGAGGGUGACCGGCCACAUUGGGACUGAGAUACGGCCCAGACUCCUACGGGAGGCAGCAGUGGGGAAUAUUGCACAAUGGGCGCAAGCCUGAUGCAGCAACGCCGCGGGCGGGAUGACGGCCUUCGGGUUGUAAACCGCUUUCAGCAGGGACGAAGCUUUUUGUGACGGUACCUGCAGAAGAAGCACCGGCUAACUACGUG